AGCGGCCGCUCUGGUUGAUCCGGCGGAGGUUACUGCUAUCGAGGUUCGACUAAGCCAUGCGAGUCAAAUGUAGCAAUACAUGGCGUACUGCUCAGUAACACGCGGACAACCUACCCUUGGGACGGGGAUAAACCCGGGAAACUGGGUAUAAUACCCGAUAGUCCUUGACUGCUGGAAUGCAUCGAGGUCGAAAGCUCUGGUGCCUAAGGAUGGGUCUGUGGCCUAUCAGGUAGUAGUGGGUGUAGCGUACCUACUAGCCUACGACGGGUACGGGUUGUGAGAGCAGGAGCCUGGAGAUGGAUUCUGAGACACGAAUCCAGGCCCUACGGGGUGCAGCAGGCGCGAAAACUUUACAAUGCUGGAAACAGCGAUAAGGGAACCUCGAGUGCCAGGUUACAAAUCUGGCUGUCGUGAUGCCUAAAAAGCAUUGCAUAGCAAGGGCUGGGCAAGACCGGUGCCAGCCGCCACGGUAACACCGGCGGCUCGAGUGGUAACCGUUAUUAUUGGGUCUAAAGGGUCUGUAGCCGGCCGGAUAAGUCUCUUGGGAAAUCUGGCAGCUUAACUGUCAGGCUUUCAGGAGAUACUGUCUGGCUCGAGGCCGGGAGAGGUGGGAGGUACUUCAGGGGUAGGGGUGAAAUCUUGUAAUCCUUGAAGGACCACCAGUGGCGAAGGCGUCUCACCAGAACGGACCUGACGGCAAGGGACGAAAGCUAGGGGCACGAACCGGAUUAGAUACCCGGGUAGUCCUAGCCGUAAACGAUACUCGCUAGGUGUCGGCCACGGUGCGACCGUGGUCGGUGCCGUAGGGAAGCCGUGAAGCGAGCCACCUGGGAAGUACGGCCGCAAGGCUGAAACUUAAAGGAAUUGGCGGGGGAGCGCCACAACGGGUGGAGCUUGCGGUUUAAUUGGAUUCAACGCCGGAAAUCCUACCGGGACCGACAGCAAUAUGAAGGCCAGGUUGAAGACUUUGCCGGAUUAGCUGAGAGGUGGUGCAUGGCCGUCGUCAGUUCGUACUGUGAAGCAUCCUGUUAAGUCAGGCAACGAGCGAGACC
rnacentral:rRNA from 1 species